GUGCUUUCUAGAAACGUGGCAAUUUUCAAUAUACAUCACGUCGAUUCUCGUUUAGUUAUUCAUAGAAACAAGAAAUUUUUUGGCUUGAAUUAUCAUUCUCUGUGAUCAGAAACUUUCUGUGUGUGUAUGCAUUACGUGGGAACCACAGGAACACAUCAGCCUAUUAUCUCUUCAACCUACCACCUAGACGUGCUCUCACUGUGACUGUGAGGCAAUACACUCAAAGAUUACAGAAAAAGUUGUGAUCAGACACUGUGUGUGUGUGUCUUGCAUUACGUGGGAAUCACACGAACACAUCAGCUCAUUAUCUCUUCAACUCUUCCUCCUACCACCUAGACGUUCUCUGUCUGUGAGGCAAGACACUCAUAGACUUAAGAAGAAGUGGUGAUCAUACACUGUGUAUGUGUGUCCUGCAUUAUGUUGGAACCACAACAGAUUAUCGCGCACCAAUUAUCUCUUUUCCAUACCAUCUAUACGCUCUCUCACUGUGAGGCAUUACACUACAAGAUUCUGUGUGUCAUUACGUGUUUAUUCACCAGAACUUCAUUGAAGUGUAUGAGCCGUCUGAUGAGGAGAACAACGAUCCUAAUACAUCACAACAAAAUGCAAGUAGAAGUUCUACUCCUACAAAGGAGCUAGUUCUUCCAAAACAGUUUUUCGAAUAUGUUGGUGAUUUAGUUGGGAAAAAUUCAAGUCAGUAUAAGUGUCUCUUUCCUGGCUGUGCAAAAAAAAGGAUCAAUCUGAUAAACUACUAGUAGUUUCCAAUACUUCUAGGCACAAUGCAAAAAGACAUUACUUGAGUCAUUAUCCCAAGGAUAAACUAGGACAUGAGAAAUUGUGGGACGAUGCAAUAAAGAAAUUAACAGCUGAUGAUAAAUCAACAUCUUCUCGAUCCAACUUUAUUUCAACAAAAAGAAAUGAAAUAAUAACUCAAGAAGAUCUUGACAACUGGGUAUUGGAUUUUAUAAUCGUCGAUGUCUUGCCCAUUAGCAUUGUUGAAAAGCCAGGUUUUAAGAAACUAGUGUCUAGUCUGGCACCCACCUUAAUUUUACAUGGAAGGACUUUCUUUACCAACAAAUUAGAGAAAGAAUAUGAGGAACGAAGACAACAGCUAAUCGAUGCCUUAGGAAAAUGUACAGAUGCAGCAACUACGAUUGAUGCCUGGACAUGUAGACGAAGAUCUUAUCUGGGUGAAACCAUACAUUGGUUUGAUUCUGACUCACUAAAUCGAAAAAGUGCUUGUCUUGCUAUUCGCCGCAUCAAAGGACGACAUACAUAUGAUGUACUUACAACUUUAAUAGAAGAUCUCCAUAAGGAAUAUGAUGUCGUAGAAAAAUUGCGAGGAUCCACAACGGAUAGGGUUCCAAUUUUCUUAAGGCAUUUCGCGAGAGUGGUGAGGCGUAUACUGUGCCUAAUUACGAGGAUCAACAAGAAGAAGAAGAAGAAGAAAUGGCUUAUUUUGUAAUUGGUGAAAUAACUAACGCUCGAAUUACGGAACAUAAUUGCUCCAACAAUCAUGAUCCAACUCUUCCCCAACAUCGGAGAUGUGCAUGCCAAUUGUUAAGCCUGAUAGGAAAGGCUAAUGUUUUGAAGAUUCAAGAUCCGGGCUUUCAACAUUUGCGCAAAUCAACCCUAGAGAACUUUCAAUUUCUGUGGAAUAAACAAACUUCCAGCUCUUUGAACGUUGAUAUUAUUAAGCAAUAUCUUGACCAACUACUGGUUUUAAAGAAUGACACGAGAUGGAACUCGGAGUACUAUGCGAUAAAUUGCAUAGUCCGGCUCUUAAAGAAGAAAAAUAGAGCACUGAGAAAACUAUUUGAAGAACUCAAGAUUACUCGUUUGACUCCAAACGAGGUACAGUUUUUAAAAGAGUACUCAAGGAUCAUGAAACAAAUUGCUGACGCAUUGAAUGUUUUACAAUGAGAAAAGAAAAUCGGAUUGGGUACUUCCAACGAUUAGUGAAUUAAAAGGAAAACUUCAGAAGCUUCAAGAUGACCCGACAAUAACACAUUGUCAACCAUUGAUUACCGGGCUUCUUGAUGCUAUUCACUUCAGAUUCCAAUCAAAGUUUGCGGACAACGAAUAACGGUUGGCCACAAUCACUAAUCCUCAUUUUAAACUCUCAUGGCUGGAAAAUGACGAUGAAAUACGUCGUGCCAAAACUUUACUUAAAGGAGAGUUCAUCCGUUUCCAGGGACCCAACGAUGAUUCUCAAUCCUAUGUUUGAACAUAUCUGUUGAACAAAAUCAUAGAUAUAAAUUAUGUUUUUUAACUUGUUACAGCUCUGAUGAUUCUAGUGACGGGACACCUUCAUCACUUUCAGAUCCCAGUCCUGAGAAAAAACGGAAACAUGCAAAGUAUUUUUUUUCCUCAAUAACAAAAAGAAAUGCUAAGACUCUAGAAAUUGAUGAAGUAGAGUCUUAUUUGCAGUUGUCUAAAACUUUUGAAGACCUGAAGAAUUUUCCGACGAUCAUGAAAAUGUAUAAACGAUACAACGUCACACUACCAUCAUCAGCUGCAGUGGAGAGACUUUUCAGUCAAGGUGGAAUAAUUUUUACACCCAAAAGACUUCAGUUAACUGAAAAUCAUUUUAAAAUGUUAUUAUUCCUAAAGGUC